rnacentral:misc_RNA from 1 species
GAUGGACUCAGCCCUCUUAUGAAGUAAAGGUUUCAGGAUACUGGACUCUUAUGAAGUGAAGGUUUCAGGAUACUGGACUUCGAUUUACUAAAAGGGUUAACCAAAGUUUCUCCUGAUGAAAAUUCCAUCCAUAUCUUACAAGAUGAAAGGUGCUGCUAUGGAUCAUGCAAUUUGGAUAUGUACUGACGCAAAGCUCCAUCUCUUGACUGUAUCAUAAUCACUGUGAGAUGAGGAUAACGUUUCAACAUUUCGACAUGUAACAUGAGUGUAUUGUAUUAGGUAAACCACAAGGCUGUCCAGUAGUUUUUUACUGUUCAGCAUUUUUAUUUUCUUAUGGUUUGAAAAUCGAUAUAGUUGUACAUG